UAAUGUACCCCUUGGCAAAACAAUUCCUUACCUUGUUCAGAGUCAAGUUGAUAUUAUUAAACUGUGUUGAAAUUCUAAGGUUCGGGUAAAAACCCCAUGAGUUCCAAAAGCCCAGAUAAGUGCGAAAACAAAGAAAAAAAGAAAAGAGAAUCAUUGAGAGAAAAAGAAAAUAAAAAAGAAAAGAGAAAAUCAUCGAGAGAAAAAGAAAAAAAAUAUAAAUAAACUCGAGGGUUCAAAAGAAGAACAAGCCAAAGAAGGGCACUCGAUCUAAAAAUAAGAAUGGAAACAAAAAACCAAGCGAAAAACCAAAGAAAAACAAAGCAACA
rnacentral:lncRNA from 1 species